CAGCAGCCACGGGAAAACAGAGGAUGCAAGCGUUAUCCGGAAUGAUUGGGCGUAAAGCGUCUGUAGGUGGCUUUUCAAGUCCGCCGUCAAAUCCCCGGGCUCAACCCUGGACAGGCAGUGGAAACUACCAAGCUGGAGUACGGUAGGGGCAGAGGGAAUUCCCAGUGUAGAGGUGAAAUUCGUAGAUAUUGGGAAGAACACCGGUGGCGAAGGCGGCGACCUGGUCUUUUACUGACGCUGAGGCGCGAAAGCGUGGGGAGCAAACAGGAUUAGAUACCCGCGUAGUCCCUGUCUCUUAUAC
rnacentral:rRNA from 1 species